rnacentral:rRNA from 1 species
CGAAAGGGUGAUCGAGCGACGCCGCGUGCGGGAUGAAGGCCUUCGGGUUGUAAACCGCUUUUGUUCAAGGUGAAGGUACGGGCCGUGAACUCGUGCUUGACGGUACUGAAAGAAUAAGCCCUGGCUAACUCCGUGCCAGCAGCCGCGGUAAGACGGAGGGGGCGAGCGUUGUUCGGAAUUACUGGGCUUAAAGCGCGUGUAGGCGGAUGGCCACGUCGGUUGUUGAAAUCCCCCGGCUUAACCGGGGAACAGGCACCGAUACGAGUUAUCUGGAGGUAGGUAGGGGAGACUGGAACUUCCGGUGGAGCGGUGAAAUGCGUUGAGAUCGGAAGGAACGCCUGCGGCGAAAGCGAGUCUCUGGCCCCAUACUGACGCUGAGACGCGAAAGCCAGGGGAGCAAACGGGAUUAGAUACCCCGGUAGUCCUGGCUGU